AUUUCGAAAAGAAAUUUAGUGCAACAUCUGCACCCGAAAACAACGAUGCGGAAAUCGCAAAUAAAUCAACGUCUCAGUGGCCUUCUAUAGCCGAAAAAAUAAUACGAGUUGCUAAGCGAAAGUGCGGUUGGUUAUUAGACCCUGCAGGUCUUGAAGUAGAGAACGAUUUAACGUUGCCCGACUACACUAAAAUAAAAGAUAUCUUGGACAAAAAUAAAAACUGUAAUAACGACGAUCAUAAAAGUGCAUUGGGAUUUCUGUUACUACCCAAUUUAAUUAACUACACUGUUAAGAGUAAAUGCAUUAACAAUAAAUGGAAGCCUACAAAAUUCGAUACCAUUAAUGCAUUUAUUUGACACGUAAACGAUCACAUUGAGAGUCAUCGAGUUAUACACGAAGUUGAUGCUAGAUACGGCGAAUACGAAUUAAAAGAACAACCGUACGUAAUUAUUUGUGGA